UUCAUAAUUAAAAUGAAAAAGCAGCUUCGCCAUGGCGAAGAAAAAAUUUAUUUAUUUUAUGGUAUAAAAAAUCAAGUGUAUAUCGUGCUCGCGACCCAGGUGGCUUUUACAGUGAUGUCGCGAAAAUUCCGUGCCAAGGCCAUGCAAAAUUACGCGUGUGUGUGUGUGCGUAAAUGUAAAACAAUUAAAUGAAUGAAAAUGUUCAAAUGUCCAUUAAAUAAUAAAUCGGUUGAAACAAAAGAACAUGAAGUACUUUUAUGGUUCCAUAUUUUUCAACUCGUCUGACCCAAAAGGUAUCAUAGGUGUGUGAAGUGAAGGUAUCAGCCACUGAUUUGAUAAAAGCCGCCAGGUUAAAAAAACAGCCUCCGACCCCUACAUGACACCGGCAUGUUGUUUAAAUUGGACAAAUUCCCAAAAAAUUUAAAAAAAAAUCUAUACAUAUGUUCGACUUCGCUAUAAAUAAAACUUAUUCUUUCAUGCCAGUAUGUGUUUGUGAACCCCAUUUGGGAUUAUAAUUGCCAUAAAAAAAAUCAUAUAUAUUCCGCAACAUUACUUGCGAACACUGUACAUGCAGACAGUUAAAAUUUAACCAACGAUGUGAUGGUUCAAAGACGUAUAUGUCCGGUAAUGGUGUGUGAAAAGGACGCCAAAGUUUUAAAACUUUUAAACUUACGUAGGCGGCUGUGGCUAUGUGUCAACAUGUGUGCGUAGUGUAAUAUUAUGGUAUUGCGGUACUCCUACCCACUCACGCUAUGAAUGGAGGUGGGGGUAUUAAAACCAAACUCUGUGUCCAAAGAAAAACAGUACUUUCUAAAAAAUGAUGUGAAGACAGAAGCCGAAAAAAAUGUUGCCCAAUUAUCUGCGUUUCCAUGAGUGUGAAGCUUUCAAGGAAGAAAACUACUGGACGACCAAGCCGUACAUCUCGUCUCAAAUAAUGGAGCACCCGCUCUUGGAGAACGCUGCCGAUCUUCAGCGGAGAAUGAAUAUGCGAGGUACCAGCAAAAGACUCCUGUCAGCCCUUUACGACCAAUAAGGUAAGUGUUUUCCUUCGCUAUCCCAUUCCGGUUCCGGUUUACUUGGCGGCGUUGGCAUUGCCAAUCCAAAGACUGUGCAAAUUGCUUAACAAGCAGGAGGUCAUGGCAUUCAGUCAACAUCGUGCAAGGUGUUGACCUAUCCAACAAACCACAGACCAUAGAUAUACCAAUAAACGGAACGCCAGGCCAUGCCUAAUCAAAAUACGCGCCGAUACCAAAAUUUACCGGCCUAUAUCGGGGUCCAAAUCGUGUGUGGCAAAAACAUCCAUUGGAGUAUUACGUGUCCAAAAGGUGACCGCGGUGCUCCUGAAGACCAAGCUCAGGGAUGGGUACUAGAGUUAUCGUCACCGGAUGCGGUGUUUCGGCCUAUUCACCUGGGUGAAUUUGCCUCGUGCCUUUUCUCACACUGGGAUUCCAACCGCCAUAAUCGUCCUCGGGCAGCUCAUAGUCCUUACCGUCCUUCCCCCGAUGUGCAGCCUAAUGUCCUAGCUUCAAUGAGGCACUUAAGGAAAGCUUUUGCGGUACUCUGGUUACGAGAACUCUAGCGCUCAUCUCCGAUGCCUGGUGCAGAUGGUUCAUCGCCGAUCUCUUGGCCUGUAAGCAACAUGUGGAGGAAAGAUGUCACAGUUGGGUUGGGCCUUCUGUAUCUGGUGGCAACACCAUAAAAGUAGGACACAAUUAGAAUUAGGUAGACCGACAUCCCACGCAUGU
rnacentral:sRNA from 1 species